rnacentral:rRNA from 1 species
AAACCAACAGGGAUUGCCCUAGUAACGGCGAGUGAAGCGGCAACAGCUCAAAUUUGAAAUCUGGCUCUCGGGCCCGAGUUGUAAUUUGUAGAGGAUACUUUUGAUGCGGUGCCUUCCGAGUUCCCUGGAACGGGACGCCAUAGAGGGUGAGAGCCCCGUCUGGUUGGAUGCCAAAUCUCUGUAAAGUUCCUUCAACGAGUCGAGUAGUUUGGGAAUGCUGCUCUAAAUGGGAGGUAUAUGUCUUCUAAAGCUAAAUACCGGCCAGAGACCGAUAGCGCACAAGUAGAGUGAUCGAAAGAUGAAAAGCACUUUGAAAAGAGAGUUAAAAAGUACGUGAAAUUGUUGAAAGGGAAGCGUUUAUGACCAGACUUGGGCUUGGUUAAUCAUCUGGGGUUCUCCCCAGUGCACUUUUCCAGCUCAGGCCAGCAUCAGUUUUCCCCGGGGGAUAAAGGCGGAGGGAAUGUGGCUCUCUUCGGGGAGUGUUAUAGCCCACCGUGUAAUACCCUGGGGGGGACUGAGGUUCGCGCAUCUGCAAGGAUGCUGGCGUAAUGGUCAUCAACGACCCGUCUUGAAACCACGGACA